ACUCAAAGGAAUAGACGGGGACCCGCACAAGCAGCGGAGCAUGUGGUUUAAUUCGAAGCAACGCGAAGAACCUUACCAAGGCUUGACAUCGUGCGCAUACGGUAGAGAUACCGUAGUCCUUCGGGACGCAUAGACAGGUGGUGCAUGGUUGUCGUCAGCUCGUGUCGUGAGAUGUUCGGUUAAGUCCGGCAACGAGCGCAACCCUUAUUAUAUGUUGCCAAUAUUAAGUUAGGAACUCAUAUAAGACUGCCGUGGUUAACACGGAGGAAGGUGGGGACGACGUCAAAUCAUCAUGCCCCUUACGCCUUGGGCUACACACGUGCUACAAUGGCCGUUACAAAGAGCAGCGAGCAGGUAACUGUAAGCGAAUCUCAAAAAGACGGUCUCAGUUCGGAUUGUGGGCUGCAACCCGCCCACAUGAAGUCGGAGUUGCUAGUAAUCGCGAAUCAGAAUGUCGCGGUGAAUGCGUUCCCGGGUCUUGUACACACCGCCCGU
rnacentral:rRNA from 1 species